rnacentral:rRNA from 1 species
UUAAGUUAUUAAGGGCGCACGGUGGAUGCCUUGGCACUAGAAGCCGAUGAAGGACGUUACUAACGACGAUAUGCUUUGGGGAGCUGUAAGUAAGCUUUGAUCCAGAGAUUUCCGAAUGGGGAAACCCAGCAUGAGUUAUGUCAUGUUAUCGAUAUGUGAAUACAUAGCAUAUCAGAAGGCACACCCGGAGAACUGAAACAUCUUAGUACCCGGAGGAAGAGAAAGAAAAUUCGAUUCCCUUAGUAGCGGCGAGCGAAACGGGAAGAGCCCAAACCAACAAGCUUGCUUGUUGGGGUUGUAGGACACUCUAUACGGAGUUACAAAGGACGACAUUAGACGAAUCAUCUGGAAAGAUGAAUCAAAGAAGGUAAUAAUCCUGUAGUCGAAAAUGUUGUCUCUCUUGAGUGGAUCCUGAGUACGACGGAGCACGUGAAAUUCCGUCGGAAUCUGGGAGGACCAUCUCCUAAGGCUAAAUACUCUCUAGUGACCGAUAGUGAACCAGUACCGUGAGGGAAAGGUGAAAAGCACCCCGGAAGGGGAGUGAAAUAGAACCUGAAACCGUGUGCUUACAAGUAGUCAGAGCCCGUUAAUGGGUGAUGGCGUGCCUUUUGUAGAAUGAACCGGCGAGUUACGAUUUGAUGCAAGGUUAAGCAGUAAAUGCGGAGCCGUAGCGAAAGCGAGUCUGAAUAGGGCGUUUAGUAUUUGGUCGUAGACCCGAAACCAGGUGAUCUACCCUUGGUCAGGUUGAAGUUCAGGUAACACUGAAUGGAGGACCGAACCGACUUACGUUGAAAAGUGAGCGGAUGAACUGAGGGUAGCGGAGAAAUUCCAAUCGAACCUGGAGAUAGCUGGUUCUCUCCGAAAUAGCUUUAGGGCUAGCCUCAAGUGAUGAUUAUUGGAGGUAGAGCACUGUUUGGACGAGGGGCCCCUCUCGGGUUACCGAAUUCAGACAAACUCCGAAUGCCAAUUAAUUUAACUUGGGAGUCAGAACAUGGGUGAUAAGGUCCGUGUUCGAAAGGGAAACAGCCCAGACCACCAGCUAAGGUCCCAAAAUAUAUGUUAAGUGGAAAAGGAUGUGGCGUUGCCCAGACAACUAGGAUGUUGGCUUAGAAGCAGCCAUCAUUUAAAGAGUGCGUAAUAGCUCACUAGUCGAGUGACACUGCGCCGAAAAUGUACCGGGGCUAAACAUAUUACCGAAGCUGUGGAUUGUCCUUUGGACAAUGGUAGGAGAGCGUUCUAAGGGCGUUGAAGCAUGAUCGUAAGGACAUGUGGAGCGCUUAGAAGUGAGAAUGCCGGUGUGAGUAGCGAAAGACGGGUGAGAAUCCCGUCCACCGAUUGACUAAGGUUUCCAGAGGAAGGCUCGUCCGCUCUGGGUUAGUCGGGUCCUAAGCUGAGGCCGACAGGCGUAGGCGAUGGAUAACAGGUUGAUAUUCCUGUACCACCUAUAAUCGUUUUAAUCGAUGGGGGGACGCAGUAGGAUAGGCGAAGCGUGCGAUUGGAUUGCACGUCUAAGCAGUAAGGCUGAGUAUUAGGCAAAUCCGGUACUCAUUAAGGCUGAGCUGUGAUGGGGAGAAGACAUUGUGUCUUCGAGUCGUUGAUUUCACACUGCCGAGAAAAGCCUCUAGAUAGAAAAUAGGUGCCCGUACCGCAAACCGACACAGGUAGUCAAGAUGAGAAUUCUAAGGUGAGCGAGCGAACUCUCGUUAAGGAACUCGGCAAAAUGACCCCGUAACUUCGGGAGAAGGGGUGCUCUUUAGGGUUAACGCCCAGAAGAGCCGCAGUGAAUAGGCCCAAGCGACUGUUUAUCAAAAACACAGGUCUCUGCUAAACCGUAAGGUGAUGUAUAGGGGCUGACGCCUGCCCGGUGCUGGAAGGUUAAGAGGAGUGGUUAGCUUCUGCGAAGCUACGAAUCGAAGCCCCAGUAAACGGCGGCCGUAACUAUAACGGUCCUAAGGUAGCGAAAUUCCUUGUCGGGUAAGUUCCGACCCGCACGAAAGGCGUAACGAUUUGGGCACUGUCUCAACGAGAGACUCGGUGAAAUCAUAGUACCUGUGAAGAUGCAGGUUACCCGCGACAGGACGGAAAGACCCCGUGGAGCUUUACUGUAGCCUGAUAUUGAAAUUCGGCACAGCUUGUACAGGAUAGGUAGGAGCCUUUGAAACGUGAGCGCUAGCUUACGUGGAGGCGCUGGUGGGAUACUACCCUAGCUGUGUUGGCUUUCUAACCCGCACCACUUAUCGUGGUGGGAGACAGUGUCAGGCGGGCAGUUUGACUGGGGCGGUCGCCUCCUAAAAGGUAACGGAGGCGCUCAAAGGUUCCCUCAGAAUGGUUGGAAAUCAUUCAUAGAGUGUAAAGGCAUAAGGGAGCUUGACUGCGAGACCUACAAGUCGAGCAGGGUCGAAAGACGGACUUAGUGAUCCGGUGGUUCCGCAUGGAAGGGCCAUCGCUCAACGGAUAAAAGCUACCCCGGGGAUAACAGGCUUAUCUCCCCCAAGAGUUCACAUCGACGGGGAGGUUUGGCACCUCGAUGUCGGCUCAUCGCAUCCUGGGGCUGUAGUCGGUCCCAAGGGUUGGGCUGUUCGCCCAUUAAAGCGGUACGCGAGCUGGGUUCAGAACGUCGUGAGACAGUUCGGUCCCUAUCCGUCGUGGGCGUAGGAAAUUUGAGAGGAGCUGUCCUUAGUACGAGAGGACCGGGAUGGACAUACCUCUGGUGUACCAGUUGUCGUGCCAACGGCAUAGCUGGGUAGCUAUGUGUGGACGGGAUAAGUGCUGAAAGCAUCUAAGCAUGAAGCCCCCCUCAAGAUGAGAUUUCCCAACUUCGGUUAUAAGAUCCCUCAAAGAUGAUGAGGUUAAUAGGUUCGAGGUGGAAGCAUGGUGACAUGUGGAGCUGACGAAUACUAAUCGAUCGAAGACUUAAUCAA